rnacentral:rRNA from 1 species
AUUGAACGCUGGCGGCAGGCCUAACACAUGCAAGUCGAGCGAGCGGCGGACGGGUGAGUAAUGUAUGGGGACUGCCCGAUAGAGGGGGAUAACUACUGGAAACGGUGGCUAAUAACGCAUACUAUCGGAUAACCCAUAUGGGAUUAGCUAGUAGGUGGGGGAAAGGCUCACCUAGGCGACGAUCUCUAGCUGGUCUGAGAGGAUGAUCCGCCACACUGGGACUGAGACCCGGCCCAGACUCCUACGGAGGCAGCAGUUGGGAAUAUUGCACAAUGGGCGCCAGCCUGAUGCAGCCAUGCCGCGUGUAUGAAGAAGGCCUUAGGGUUUUAAAGUACUUUCAGCGGGGAGGCGUUACCCGCAGAAGAAGCACCGGCUAACUCCGUGCCAGCAGCCGCGGUAAUUC